GUGCUUUUCCUAACUAAAGUAUGUUUUAUCUUGAUAAUAUUUAGUUAAUAGUUACACCCAAUUUUUUUUUUGUUAAUAGGGACUUUUACUAAACACAUAUGACACAUCACCCUGAUCUUUCAACCAGUUGUUAUGAUAUACUUCAGAAAAUGUCUCAGUUAACUACAUUAUAUUUGCAAAACAAGCUCUCUUUUUUGAAAUUCAUAUAUACUACUUAGUUAUCCGUUAGAGAACAGAAAUAUUCCAAUCUUAAAAAGUAACAGUGAGUUCAACGUACAAUAAAGCGUAAUUGGUCAACUGAUUCAUUCAGUAGCUUUCAACAACAUCAACCGUUUUGAAUCACUAUUUUAAUUGUGACUCAAAAAGAAUUGAUAAUGAAUAACGUGUGCAUGCUUUAAUUGGAUCCACGUUCUUGGAUAACAAACAUAAAAAAUAAUCGGAGAGAUCAUGAUCAUGUGAAACUCAAAGGAACUUACAAGAGUCGUAACUUCAUGUCUUCAUCUACACGCAAGAGAGGAUUGGUGAUCCCGACGAGACCUAGCCAAUCCCAUACAAAGGAAUAUAAAACGGUCUCAAGCUACAGAUUUUUAGUGGGCUUUAUUAAAAGAAUGGCCCGAGAAUUCAACAUCUUUAGUUCUUUAUGGGCUUUAUAAUAAGAUGGGCCGACUAUUCAAGUUGUAUACACAUCCUAUAUAACAAGACGGGCCCCGCUCUAUGUGUUUUUUUGUUCCGAGUUCCGACAUAACUACCCUCUGUUGUCCGAAUUCCUCCCACGAGUUGUAAAGAGAAAAUAUCCAAACGAUAUAGAGAUUUUUACCGUUCUGCGGUUCGCCGGUGAGUCGCAAUUUCUCGAAUUUCGUAUCGAAGUUUGCGUCUUUGAUCUUAAUCCGAAGAAAAUAGAUUCUUACUUGUUAAUCAAAGACGGUAAGUGAUAUAGGUAUUUCACUAUUUCACUUACAGGUUUUGAUUCCGACAUGUAUUGAUUAUCGGGUUUUAAUAUCUUGAAGUGUUUGCUUUGUCCAUGGAUUGUCUUGUUCUUGAUUAUUUUGAAAUAUUCUGUUGAUUUAUGUUAAGAACAGAUAGUUAAAGAGACUUCAAUGGCGAGCCAAGGAAUGGUGUCUCUCACUAAGUCUCUAUGCAUUAUGACUCCAAAAGUCCGCCUCAAGAACACAAAGACGACAAAGAACCUAAUCACACGGUCUUGUAAUCUCCGUGUCUUAUGUUCAAAGCUGUCUCAAUGGGAACAAGCACCUUUUAUUCAUGAUUCUACAGAAGAAGCUGGUGGUGGUAUAGUAUUGGAGAAAACCAAGAACGUGUUCGAGUCUAUCGUAUCCGAGACUGAAGCGGAGGAGCAGAAAAUUCAGGUUUUUAAAUGGCCAAUAUGGCUUUUAGGUCCAUCUGUUCUACUCACAAGUGGUAUGGCACCUACUCUAUGGCUUCCAUUAUCAUCGGUUUACGUCGGUUCAAAAGUGGUUAGCGUGCUUUCAUUGAUCGGUUUAGAUUGCAUUUUCAACCUCGGAGCAACCCUUUUCUUGCUAAUGGCUGAUUCUGGCGCACGUCCUAAAGAUCCAUCACAACCCUGCAAGAGCCAACCACCGUUUAGCUACAAAUUUUGGAACGUUUUUGCGCUCGUAACCGGGUUUCUCAUACCGACGCUACUUCUGCUCGGAUCCCAAACCGGUUUACUCGCUUCUCUCCAACCGGAGCUUCCUUUCUUGUCUGUGGCUGUUCUCCUCUUCCCUUACUUCAUCCUCCUCGCGGUUCAGACAUUAACAGAGAUCCUCACGUGGAGCUGGCAAUCACCGGUUUGGCUAGUGACACCUGUUGUCUACGAGGCUUACAGAGUUCUGCAACUUAUGAGAGGGUUGAAACUAAGCGCAGAGGUUAACGCACCGGUUUGGGUGGUUCACGUGAUUCGUGGGCUAGUCUCUUGGUGGGUGUUGAUCUUGGGGAUGCAACUCAUGAGAGUUGCUUGGUUUGCUGGUUUUGCAUCUAGAACAACAACAACAACUCAGCAACCAGAAUCUGUUGCUUCAGAGUAAAGACAGUUUCUUUCGUUUACCUUUGAAGCUAGUCCUCCUAUCAGGAAAAAAAAGAAAGAUUUGUAACUACUGUAUGUGUAGCUAUUAUUGUUGGUGACUAUAACAAAAACAUAUUUCUUUUAUAUUCAUAUUAUUAAUUUGUACAUUAUUCUCUGCAUUGAUUUGGUAUAUAUUUCCGAAAUAAUCAAAAUAUAUAUAAUGCAUAUUUCAUAGAAACUUUUACCAAAAAUUUUGUCAUAGAAAAAUCUCUAUUUGUGGAAAUUCUUUUAAUAGUAAGGGUUGUAGGCAAGAAAAUAGUCGUGUAAUGUUUUUUCUAGAUCCUAAAAUUGUCAAAUAAGACUCUAUCUAAGUUUUACAAUUCAAAAAAAAAACUUUAAAUAUUUCUUAAGUGAAAAAUAUAGUAAUUGGUGUUUAGGAUCAAUCCCAUAAACAAUUAGAGAUUACACAAUAAAGAUGAAAGAUACAAACUUUUUAGAACAGAUUUUUUUUGUUUUGAAUUUUAGAAAAAAAAAACAUUUAAAGGAAUGAUUUAAUAUGAUGUAAGCAAAACUGUUGGAGAUAAAAAAAAAAUAUUGUAAGUAAAACCCCUAGACGUAAAUAUUUGUUAAAAACAAUAAUUAUCGGUUACAAAAAAUCAAUAUAUUAAUUUUUAUUAAUAAUAAAAUAAUAAUGCAUUUGAAAAAGACCUGUCAUAAUAAUAAAACGUAUUUCUAUAUUUCGUCAUCAUCAUAUUCUCUUUUUUUUUCUUCUAACAUUGGGAUAAUCUCUUCUUUAAUUUGGUCACUGAAUUUUCGUAAUGCGUUUGCGAAUAAAUCGCGUUUCAAAUCAAAGACAUGAUUAUUGUUUUAGUGAAAAGACAGUAACACCCUGGAGACUGAAACAAAACACACAGCGAAGUCCCAGUUUCUCCAUUCUCUCUCUCUCUCGAUCGACGACUGCUCUGUCGGAACCGGAGACGCGCGUCGCGGAACGAAUCUGUUUUUGAAUCUCCGGUGAUCUGAUCGAGAUGAGUAACAGUGAGCUUCUUACCGUUGAGCCUCUCGACCUUCAAUUCCCUUGUAAGCUUUUAUUUCAGACACGUUUUCGUUAUUUCGCAUGUCUUUCUUCGUGUCCGGACCAGAUCUAGAUUUUUUUUCCAAAGUGUUAAUGAUUCAUCUUAUCUGAUAUGAUUCGAUGUAGUUGAAUUGAGGAAGCAGAUCUCAUGCUCUCUUUACUUGACCAACAAGACCGACAAUCAUGUCGCCUUUAAGGUAAUAAUAAUAGUACUAAAUUUCCAGGCUUUGGAUCGGGUUGUAUCUAAUGUUUCUGAGGCUUGUGGUUUUUUUUUAUUUUGUUAGGUUAAGACAACGAAUCCGAAGAAGUAUUGCGUUAGGCCUAACACUGGAGUUGUUCUUCCACGGUCCACUUGUGAAGUUCUUGGUCCGUUCUCUCAUUCUCUAUGCAUUGUUAUUCUUUUUGUGUUGAAUUGCGAUUUCCAAAGGAAGCUCCUUUCAAUAUGCAUCUUUGUUUGGUGUUUGCAAUAGCCCAAACAAUUUUCUUAAAAUCCAAUUUAUGCAACUCAAAUCGGUUUAAACCUUUUUUUAAAUCUAUCUAAAAUCUAAAUUGGUAUAAAUCUAUUAAAUUUAAGCAAUAAUAUUAGUGAAAUCCACAAAUUUGUCUUGUUUAUUUUCUUUGUAUAUGUAAAUUUGAUAAUUUAUCAAAAUAAUUUUAUAAUUAUUUAAACCCAAAAACUAAAAUAUCUAAUGUAAAUAUAAAAUAAAUUAAUAGUAUUGAACAUUUGUGUAGUGACAAUGCAAGCUCAAAAGGAAGCUCCUUCGGAUAUGCAGUGCAAGGACAAGUUUCUGCUUCAAGGUGUAACUGCUAGUCCUGGUAUCACGGCCAAGGAUGUUACUCCUGAGAUGGUACUACUUCAUUUCCCAUUUGUUUUUUUUAUACGGAUAAUGGAUAAUCACAUUUUUGUUUAUUUUCUUGUAAUGAAAAAUUUGCAGUUUAGUAAAGAGGCUGGAUAUCUGGUUGAGGAGACUAAGCUGAGAGUUACUUAUGUUGCUCCACCACAACCACCAUCACCUGUCCAUGAAGGUUCGGAAGAGGGCUCUUCACCAAGGGCUUCUGUUUCUGAUAACGGACAGGCUGCUGAAUUUUCUGUAAGUCAGGGGUCUGGUUGAUGUAACAUUUCCUAUUUACUUAAUUGUAGAUUCUCAUGUGUGUUUUGAUUUUAGUUUCAGAGAUUUAGCGCAGACAAGGUUGAACCUCAAGAAGGCACAUCUGAGGUAUAUUCAUAGUUCUUUUUUUAACCAUCAAAACUAUAUCAAAUUUAUCUGUUGCAGUCAGGUUUUCUAUUAUUUUUUAGUUUUACAAAUCUUAGUGUCAUUAGUUACAACUUUGGAACUACUUUUUUGUGGAAAGUUGGCUUUAAAAGCUGAUGUAUUAGGUAGGGAAUCUUUCUUUUUUUGUUUGUUGAUUAGUUUAAAGGUUAGUUACACUUUUAGAACCCAGUCAAGUCCUCAAGCCGCCCAUUACUUAUUUAUCAGUUUAUGGAUGCUUUUGCAUAUUUUAAUAUGUACAAUAUCCACUAGCUCUAACUAGACACCAGAUACCAGGAAAGUCAAGUCAUUCUAUUAAUUUUCUGUUAAGAGCUGAGUUUUGUGUGAUUCCAGGCAAGAGCUCUCAUCACGAAGCUAACCGAGGAAAAACAGUCUGCCAUUCAACUCAACAACAAACUUCAAAGAGAGCUGGUAAAAGAACUUUCGCUUGGCUCCUUAUUUUUAAAUCUUGGUUUAGAUGUUGAGUUUGAUUUCUGACAAAGAGUUGGUUGAUGUGCAGGAGCAAUUGAGACGUGACAGCAAGAGGAGCCAAAGUGGUAUCCCUUUGAUGUACGUUCUUCUGUUCGGACUAAUCGGUCUGAUUUUGGGAUACAUUAUGAAGAGCACAUAACCACCACCUCGAGUUCUUAGUCCCACACACACCGCCACAGACUUAUUUUUAACUCAAUUCUCGAGUCAGACAUUUUCUCUCUCUGUAUUUGACAAAUGUCACCUAAAAAAGGUGCUUCUAAAUGAUUUGUGUUACGGUAGUAAAAGCUUCAUAACUCAGUUUGCUUUGUUUUUAACUUUCUUUAUUUGUAAUCCAAAACCUUUUGGUGCUGAGUACUUUACCAGCUUCAAUGGCAGAAAAUUUAAUGUGCGAGAUGCUGAAAAAGUCAUAGUUUAUGACACUAGAGAUGGUAAACGUGACAAAGAUUAUACCAGCUAUGUAUUUCAACAGUAAAAACAUGGUAUAUGGUAGUUAACGUGCUUGACAUGCAUCAUCAUCAAUGUUCGGUUGAUUUGGUAAUUGGUAUGAGACUAGGAAGAAGAAUGGUGAAGUUGUUCAUGGUUUGAAGCUCAAAUGGUGCCUUUAAACAUUUAAGACAAAGAGAUGCAGAAAGACUCUAAUAGAGAAAGAGGGUUAGAUAAGUUCACGCGACAACAAAAGGCGCGUAGAGCUCGCUCAUAACCUCCUCCCGUCGUUACCACCACCACACUAUUAUCUCUCUACUCGCCGAGAUUAGAUUCACCGAAUCACAAUCCUCUCAACUUCUCUCUCCUUCCACCAUGCGGAGACUUCUUCUUGUUUCGUAAAGAUCCUUCCUUUUUCAAUCUCCGAUUCCAAAAAUGGCGCCUUUUGUUGAAGUAUGCAGGUACUACAAGCCUCUACCAUUCCAAUGUCCUUGCCGUUCCUCUCCUACAAACUCUCUAAUCCUUCCCCAUCUCUCCCUAAAGUACUCUAAUUUGCGUCUCCUCGCUUCCAAACCAUCCUCUCAUCCUCGCUUCAACGGAAUCUCAUUUAACCGAAGCCGUGUCAUCACCGCCGUUGCUCGAGUUGAAUCAGAGCAUCUGGGUGACGAUAGCAACUCAAAGGAGGUAACUUUAUGCUUCUUUCUUACCCUUAGCAACUCAAAGGAGAUACCUUUAUGCUUCUUUCUUGAUGGCUUGAGCUCUUACUGACAUUACUAUGUCAUUUAGGAAGAAGAAAGAGAUAAAGAAGUGCAAAAUGUGGAGGAAGAUUCGAGUUUAGAUCAACAGAAGGAGAAGUCAAGAAGCCAGUUCAAGAAGAGGGUAGUGUUCGGUCUAGGGAUAGGUUUGUCUGUGGGAGGUGUUGUGUUAGCUGGAGGAUGGGUUUUCACCUUAGCGCUAGCAGCUGCGGUGCUUCUAAGUGCUCGAGAGUAUUUCGAGUUAGUGAGAAGCAAAGGAAUCGCUCAAGGAAUGACACCUCCUCCUCGUUAUCUGUCUAGAGUCUGCUCAGUUAUUUGUGCCCUUAUGCCCAUACUCACAUUGUGAGUUAGUAGUAGCUUUCCAUUCACUCACUUACUUUCAACUCUUUUUUUCUCCUUGUUCUGAUUUAAAAAGGUUUUGAGAUCUUUGUAGGUACUUUGGUCAUAUAGAUAUCGCGGUGACGUCAGCUGCGUUUGUGGUUGCGAUGGCGUUGUUGUUGCAAAGAGGAAGAAACCCGCGUUUCUCUCAGCUGAGUAGUACUAUGUUCGGGUUGUUUUACUGUGGCUAUCUUCCUUGUUUCUGGGUUAAGCUGCGUUGUGGUCUUACUGCUCCUGUUCUUGGAAGAAGCUGGCCAGUUCUCCUCGGUGGUCAAGGGCAUUGGACUGUUGGACUAGUGGCGAUAUUGGUUUCGUUUUGCGGUAUCAUUGCUUCGGAUACGUUUGCUUUUCUUGGCGGCAAGGUAAUGUCUCUGAUGCAGUUUAGAUCUAAUAACACAUUCGGUGGUUCUUAUUUGUAUAAGUUUCAGGCGUUUGGGAAGACUCCGCUUAUAAGCAUUAGUCCAAAGAAGACAUGGGAAGGAGCUGUUGCAGGACUUGUUGGUUGUAUUACCAUUACCGUUUUCCUCUCCAAGUCUUUGUCAUGGCCUCAGCCUCUUGUCAGCACGAUAGCUUUUGGGGUUCUUAACUUCUUAGGAUCGGUGUUUGGUGACUUAACCGAGUCUAUGAUCAAACGUGAUGCGGGUGUCAAAGACUCCGGUUCACUCAUCCCUGGUCACGGUAGUUUAUAAACCAUUUCCGGUUUUUAUUUUUGGUCUAGCAAUAUUGCUCUAUAUAACCGGUUAUUGUGUGUAAUUGCAGGUGGAAUAUUGGACAGAGUUGAUAGUUACAUAUUCACUGGUGCGUUAGCCUACUCCUUCGUAAGGCUUCAUGGAGUUUGAUUCUACCAUUGUUAUAGAGCUUCAAGAACACUUACAAAGCGGCGCAUUUUCCUUCUCCACGAAAGUGAAAUUCAAGAAAUGGAUAGAGUACAAUGAUGGUGAUGUGACUGUAGAAAAUUCUGGUGGUGAGCUUCCGGUUUAUUGUUUGAUUGAACCGGUACAGAUUUUUUUUUGGUUCAAUGUGAGUACCGUUUCAGGAGGCGAAUUCUCGGGUUAUUUCAUUUGAGAUUCAUUUCAGUUUUUCCCAAGCAGACUUUUUAGUUUCGAGUUGUUAGAAUGACUCGACAUUUCCUGGCCAGGCCCACGGUUAGUGUUGGGCUUUAACGAGACAGUGGUGGGUUUUGUUUGUUUGCGUUAAAGGACAAAUCACAUGGGGAGGAGACACGUGUCGAAAUUAACGGCAAUGGCGGCUUCGGGUUGCGGUUAGGGCACGAUCUUUUGCAAACAUAAAAACAGAGCGGUGAUGGUCCAAGCACACUUGUCUGCUGUUUUGCUAAAAUGGUCCCAUACGUUCUUUACUCUCUUCUUUUCUUUCCCAUCUCCAUAAUGUUUUCUUCUCCCAUGUCAAGGACUCCUGUAAAAAUAAAUAUUUAUACCCUAAUGUCUAAUCAAAUGCAUUAUAUAUUUGACAAAACGCCCAAAUAUAUACGAUUUCGGAUUCGUCCUCUCUCGCAUAGGGAUGUAACAAAUUUGUAUCAUGUAUAGAUAUGCCUUCUAAGUUCCAAAUAAAACAAAAUCUUUCUGCUCUCUCGCAUCGGGAUGUAACAAAAUUGUCUCAUGCCUUCUAAGUUCCAAAUAAAACAAAAUCUUUCACUUUGAUACGGUUUUUGGUGUGCUUCCGGAAAGUGUCCGAUCUCAUGAAUAAUCAAACACGUUUUCUGCCACCGCCAUCCGAUAAAUUCAAUGAACGGAAGUCAUGGGCAAGAAGGUCUUAUCGUGUCUGCAAGGUUUAGUGUCAAAAUUUCGAAAUUUCGCUAUUGAACUACAAGGUUUUAGUGCGUUAGUGAGACGUUGGUCAUGUUUUCGAACCAUUAACUUCAAAUAUGUUAUCUGUACCGGAGUACAGUCAAACAGAUAUAUAAUAAUUUUGCAUGACUUUAACCAUACAUAGUAACUGCUAAUUUUAUCUUGUGUGUUGAAAUUAUUAAUGCAAGAUAUUUAUUCUCUAAUAGGGUCCUUCGAGGUGACGGUUCUUUGGCCAUUGAUUUUGGAAUGUUAAGACAAAGAUCGAUAAACCAAGUUUGUGGAUCAAAUCGGUAUGGAUAGAAUUUUGAUAGUAUGUUAAAUUAGAUGAACUUGCAACCUAAAACUAACCAAGAGAUUGUUAUCUUAUAUAUAUACUAGUUAAUAUUUUUAAUUUAACUUCCAAUAUGCAUGUUUGAAACCUUAUCUUUAGUAGAAGUACAUCCAGACAUAUAAAUACAUAUUUUGGUUAGACUUUUGGGGCUUUAGCAGACACUAUAUAUCCGACCAGUAUCCACUUGUUGAUAACAUCAAACUGUGUCCGUUGGUCAUUAGAAGUGUGGAAAUUAUUACUUUAUUAGCAUUAUAUCAAUAUAUAAUUGCUAUAAAGUCAUCGUAAUGCAACAAAAUAGCUAGGUAGUUAUAACGUCACUGUGUUCACGUAGACAUGAACAACUGAACAUGUAUCAUGUAUACAGUUGACCAAUAUUUCUAAAUGUUAAUUAUCUUAUGUAAUAAUACAUAGACCAAACAAAAUCAAUCACAGUCAAGACCGUUGCAUACUUGGUAGUUAUUAUAACAAUUAAACACAUAAUAUCUUAUCAUACAUGGUUUUGGUUCUGUUGGAUUUUGAAUAAAAUGCGUUAAGUCAAUGAAUAAGCCAUGCAUACAAUGAAAUAAAACUAGCAAGGACUCUUUUUAAAAAUCUUGGAACAUAAUGACUCACUUAGUUCAAGGUUUUUGUAGGAAACACAACUGCAAGCAUUGAUAAGAUCCGCAAUCUGCUUCUAUUCCCCGUUAAUUAAUUAUGAAAAUUUCGGAAAAUGUAGUUUUCACCUGUCAGAAAUAAAACAAUCCGUUUGAAGAAUGUUUGGCGGAAAAAGUCUGCUUGCCUUUUUGUUAAUCGCUACUAAAAUAUCGACCUUUAUGCGGAUGGUAUGUUUCCAAGAAAUACACACAUGAAGAUACAUUUAAGUGAAUUAAAUAAUGAGUUAUUAGGAGACAAAGUUAGCUAGGUAGCGCAAAACCAUGCAAAGUGUUUGAAGGCCUCAACGUAGAAACAAAGAGGUAAGAGAUUUAAAACCUCUCUUGGGAUAAACAACGAAGCAUAUGCAUCAAAACCCUAAUCCUCCUUUUUGCAUGUUCCGAUGGGUAGCUAGAUUUUAGGUCUAUAUUCAUUAAUACGUAAUAUAAAAUAUACAUAAAAUCUUAUUAAGCGGUCAGUCUGAGGAGGCUAUAAUUACGAGAGAGAAGACACAAGUUUGUAUUUUCACUUUCGCUAGGACGUUUUCUCUGGUUAGGGUCGGUGGAUUCUUCAGACAGAAGAGGGGCCACAUGAACACCAUAAUCUGACCUUCUCUACUCUUUUCUUCUUCUCACCCAUACAUUUGCAUGUUCUCUCUUUCUCCUCUAUCAUCGACGACUCUUAGUUUAUCUCUUUCUCUCUCUAUCAAUAUCUUCAUUUAUUACACGAUCUCUCUGUCUUAUGCAUUUAUAACAAUCACGAUAUCUUCAAACCGUCAUAUCUCUUUCUAGCUCUAUAUAUUGGUCGGCAACUGUCGAUUGGUUAUAGCCAUCUCUUUUUUAGUUCUAUUACUCGUCGUGGAUAUGUUGAGGACUAGUUGUUUAUAUUUCUUUGUUAUUGUUUUUGUCAUCCUUUCUCGGAUUUACUUAUGCGAGGCUCGCCAUCUUGCACCCAUGGAGAAGAAGCUUCAUGUGAAUCGCGAUAACUUAAUUGCGAAGGUAAGCCCCUUUGAUUUUUUUUUUUUUAAUGUUAGUGUGCCUGUGUUGUUUCGAAUGAUGUUAGGGUUUGUUCGUGUAUGUCAGUAUGUGCAAUAAAUUGUAGGGUAUAUUCGUAAGAAAACAGUUUUGACUAAUUCACAUGCGCAUAUAUAUAUAGUACAACAAAACACGGAUUUGACUAUUUCCUGAUCGUCGAGAGAUGUUAAUAUUGACAUGUGUAAGUGCAACCGGUUCAUCUGUGUAUGAGGUUGUGUUAACUUUAAAUAUGCAUGUUUUAUUUUGUUAUAUAUAUAGCUGAUUGAAUUUCAUAUUACCAAAUAUACUUUACAGUGAAGAUUUAUUUGUAGGUAGGGUCCGUCCAAACGUACUAGCAAUAAGAACUUUGGGUUUCAAGUAGUGUCGCCAGUUGCGCUUAUGUUUCAUCAAAUCUCCUGUAUUUGUAAUAGGGUUUUAUUGAACAUAAAAUGUGUAGUUAGUUUAAUUCUAUAGAACAAUAAAUCAACAGAAAACUAAUUGAACACAUUAUUUCAUACAACGAUAUUAAUUCCUUUUCCAUGGCACAGAACAACGAAGAGAUUAAAAAGCUAGAAGUCCCGUCGACAAACAACACGAAAACCAUAUCAAGCGAAGCACCGAUCGAACAUGCCGUAGGUGAUCAUGGCGAGAUCAUUGAGAAGAAUACGAAGGACGAUUGCAGAGUAAACCGAGCUUCACUAGUCAAAACAAGUGUGUCGUCAAAAAGAGUCUCAAGAACUUGGAAAGUUCCCAAAUAUUCAAAGAAGCUGCCUAGGUCGGAUCAGGAACAUCCUGGAUUCAAUCUUGAUUAUAUGCAGCCCACUACGCACCCACCUCAUCAUAAUUAACCUUAUAGUGAUCAAGUUUCCAUAUUGUGAUUUAUAUAUAUACAAUAAUUUUAAGUCACACGAGGAAUGUCGUCCACAUUUUAACUCUUUCAAUAUAUGGUCACAAACGACCUAGUUAUAAGCUUAUAACAAAAAAAUAUUAUGUAAAAUUAGUUAGAAAACAGGUUCUUGAUAUUUGUUCAAUACACGCUUUCGCGCGCAUACAUCAAUAACGAUGCACUAUAUAUUAUAUGCGUCUUUACAUGCACUUACAUGUGACCUUUGUUGUUAUUUUUUUGUUUGUUUGUUAAAAUCAUUUGCUGAAUUGUUGUGAUACAAUUCUCAAGUAUUUGCAUUACAAAAAUGUGUGCAUUUUGGUUGUUAACAAAUUGUUAUUAAGGUACCACUAGUCAAAAUGCCUUAUUUCUAUUGAAUUAUACAGUACGUCCGCGUGCACAGUCACUAUUAACGAUGUCCAAAAAGGACGAGAUCCCGCGUUUGGUUCCAAUGCAAUCAGGUUGUCCCAAAUCUACGUAUCAUAAAAGAAUUAAGUUUAAGUUGACUUCAUACAAUUACAACUCAUAAAACAACAAGUUGACAAAAAAACUCAUAAAACAACAAUGCAAGCAAUAUUCUUUACCAUAUACUCCCACCGUUUAGAAAAAUCUAUGUUUAAAAAUAAUUGUUUUAAAAACAUAUAUAUUUUACAUUUUUAAAACAUUAAUUAGUGGUUACAAAAUGUGUUAUUAAGACUUUAUUGGUUAAAAAUUAUGAAAAUAGUUAACUACAAGUCUACAAACAUAAUGUAUUAAUAACCACAAAUUUAAUAUAUUUUUAAUAUACGUGAAAAUUCUAAACUUACAAUUUUUUGAAAUUGUUUAAAUAUAUUUUUCAUUAAAACGUUUGUUUAUUUGUUUCUUGAAAUUUUGUGUCUAUUUUUUUGAGCGAGAUUGUAAUGGCCCAUAAGCCCAUUAAAUAUGGAUAGCUACGACUCGAGUGUCAGGCCCAUUUAAUUGUAAUGGCCCAUAAGCCCAUUAAACGUUCCCGCCUGAAAAGAAAUCUGGAAUUUCCAAUUUCUAAAACCUAAAGAGGAUUAAAAGAUAGUGUGUGCGGGUUGUUGGAGACUCAGAGAGAUUUCAAUCUCGAAGAAUGGAGGGAAAGCAAGCUGGAUCUUCUCUUGAUUCGUUGAUAUCUUCCUUCAACAAACGAGUCUCCGAGUUGCAGGAACUCGUCAUCGCCCGGAACAGUGAGUCGCGUUUUCUCAUCAGCUCGAAACACUCUAAAAAUCAAUUCGAUUGAACCUAAUUUUUUAUUCUCUUUCGCAGUGUAUCCGGCGAGCAGCGUCCCGGAUUUAACGGCGAUUGACACGGCGUUGAGCUCGAUGGAGCUUCAGGUUCAGUCCAUCAAGGAUCGGCUUCGUGAAGAGACCGAAGCUAUUCCAAAAGCCAAGGUACAGUCUCGAAGAUUUUCGAAAUUAGAUUCUAGAAGCGGUCACUAGAUGUGUAAUUGAUUAGGUGUGAAGGUUUAGGGUGAUGGAACUGUAGUCCUGUUCGUUUGGUUGCCGCAGGUUUUGGUGUCGGUGUCAGCGGCGGCGGCAGCAGCGUCAAUGAGGACAGUUGUUGUUCGUUUCGCAGACGCUGACGCUGCCGCUGACACUGACGCAUACUAUAUCGCGACCGCAGGUUUUAUCGGCGUUAGCCGCAGACGCUGCAUUCGGACGCGGCGUCAGACGCAGCUUCCCGCGUCAAUGAAACGAACAAGAGUUGACGCAGAAUGUUGACGCUGCCGCCGGUACCUGCGGCAACCAAACGAACAGCCCUUAUGUGUAUUCUUCUAUGUAUUUAAUUAUUUAUCGAUUCCAACUUCAUGUUUUUUCAAUUCGUGGUGUUUUGAUUGUAGAAACUUAUUGAGGCAUCGCUGAAACAACAAGGGAAGCUGCAGAAGAUGUCUGUUUAUGCACCGUCACACUUUCCUGACAAGACUACAAUGUUGAAUUCUGAUAUUAACAGAUGGUAUAUGCAAUACAUUGAGUAGUCCUUUUACGUCAUUAUUGUUUUUAUACUAAGAUUAGUGGGUUACUACCAGUUUGCUUCAAGAAAAUGUCAAGAAGCAUGAACAGAGUUCUGCUCUUAGGUCCUUGAGAUCUGAGGAGGAAGCAGCUGUUUUACCCAAGGUAGGACUUGCAUAUACUGUGUUCUUCUCCUAAGAGACGUUAUUGUAUAUGGUUAAAUCUUCUGGGUUUCGUUUACAGGAGAGGAAAGGUCGUGGGUCUCCUCCGCUUUGGUACAUAACUGUUGAUGAACUCAAUUCCCUCUCAUCGUAAGUACAAUUUACUCUCCAUGUUUAUGUGAAAUGCAUUUUCUGAGAUGUUUCUCGAAAAAUGAAAAAAGAUACAUGAGAGGAAGGCUUACCCUGGAGAAAGUGAAUGCGGCUAUCAAUGACAUGGCUUCAUACGCUGAAGCAAAUGCUCAUCUUAUUUCAGCUCCAAAACAUAAGGUAUUUAUUACUCACAUACGUCCUGCUCUGUUUAUGUGUUUUCGGAAUUGAUUACUGACUUCUCUGUUUGUUACUCUUGUGGAGCUUGCUGAAAACCUCUGGGAGAAAGCACUGGUAAGCUAUUUCUUUUAAAGAAUGUUAUUGUUUCACGAAAAGCUAUUUUAUGGAUUCUUAUGCUGAGGUAAUUGAUUAUCUUGAAACUCUUGUUUGUAGAAACUGCGAGACAUUGUAACAUCCGGAGCACUGAAGGGAAAACACUUUUUUCUUGAAACUGACAUGAAGGGGCCAAUGUUGAAGCUAGACAACACAGGCAAAGCAAUACUUACGGUAAGUAUCAUUUUCUGCUUCUUUGAUUUCAAACAACAGACAGAGUUUUUAAUGUCACCAGGAGUUAGACAACACUUCAAAUACAAAAUAAUUGUCGGUUUUUUGAUGUAUUUAACAGGUUCUUAGACACCUUGGUCGUGUUAGUGAGACUCGCAUUGGUCAAAACCGCGUCAUCAUUCUUAUGAAGCCUAAUUAGAGAAGAAACCAGCUUAUCUCAAGUUUAUGUAGCCACAUCAAUUUAUUGAUUAUCUCCUGUAGAAGGUAUGCUUAUUCGUUAAACGCAUUAAGCCUUAAUCUUUUAGACUGUUCUGCUAGUCCCACAUAGGCCCAGAACCAACUAAAUAGUUGUGUAAUAUGGACGAUGACUUUGCCCGGCACCAGAACCAACCUCUUUUCGGUUCGUUCAAAAUCCCAGGCUAGUUUACCCCUAAAAGUUUCUCAUAUUUGCACUAAAGUAGCAAAACUCGAUUUCCGUUACUUUGUUAUUUUUUUCAAACUCCAAGCAUUUGCGGAAUGUAUUUUAUUAGUAUAUUUGGUUCAAGUUCCAGUGUACAAAUGGCCUGUCCCAUUCAAAUCUACAGAGUAGCAAAACUCGGUUUUGUUUUCAUGUACUUUACUUAAAAAAAUAUACAUAAACCUCCAGGGAUCGUAGAUGUUCUAUAUAAGAUACAGCUAUGGUAAAAACGUUCGAGCCCAUUUGAAGAAAAACAAAAUUAGGUUCAUUCGACUAUGUUAAAUCAUUAUUAUUCAUAUGUACAGAGAACGAGUAAAUACAAAGAGGAAGUAAGAAAUGGAAUGGAGCAUAAACAUUCACAGAUACACGUUUAUUGAUAAUGUCUGUCACAAUCGUUUUGUCUUAUUUUUCAUAAAACCCAAUAAUUUGUUCGUGCAAAGACACGAAAAACAUUAUGCAUAAAGACAAAACCCUAAACAAUAAACCCUCUUGAAAGCAUGGAUACUCUUUUACACAUUUAUUACCAACUAACUCAUAUCAUAUCAUAUAAUUAUAUUACAAGAGAUGAUCAUAAAUUCUCUUGUACAGCCACGUUUUAGACUAUAUAGAGUUCACCACCAUGCAAACGAAUCAUUUUAACUCGGACAAGAAAGAUGUGGUCUGUCCUACUCCUGCAUAGUUAAUGAUUCAAGAUUUUAUUUUUAUUUUGUCAGUGAUUCAUGUUUUUAACCUCUCGAGAUUUGAGAAUUUACUAACCCGCAGUAAAUAAAUAAUAAGUAUAUGCCGCCUGAAUAAUGUGUGAACUGAAAAUGCAAUCAUGAAAGUAAUCACUACCUAUUAUAUUUUUAUAAAUGAGUACAAAAAUAUGAUUUAUGUUUAAAUUGUUUGAAAAUAGAUAGCAUAGAAUUCUCCCUUUAAGCUGUACACAGACCAGACAAAACCAGAAGAGCUCCGUUUUUUUCUUUUUUCCAUCUCCUAUAUAUUUUAAAUUUCAUUUUGAAAAACUUAACUUUGAUUCGUUACAGAUAAGUAGACUAAAUUGUUACGUUACGUGAAUACAUUCUACUUAUCACUUGGACCGCACACACAUACGGCCCUCCCUAAUAGAGCGGAGCUCGUUGCGGCGGCGUAUUCUUCCUUCGGUUAAAAAAGUUCGCCGGAGCUUCCGUGUUAGCCGAGGAAACCGCCGUGGUGACUCUCCGGCAAGUCGAACUCAAGCUGCUUCUCUUCUUGCGAACGAUUUCAGUUGCAGCGGUGCAAGCGAGCGCCUGACACAAGAACAUGUCUACUCCUCCCUCAUCGUCGGUUAAGUUAAGAGAGAUGCAGACGCGGAGAAACCCCGAGAGUCCUCUUUGUCUCAUUAUGACGUCACUGAUCUACAAAAAGCAAAACAAAAAAGACAAAACCUUUUUCUGUAAAAAAUGAUCGUACACGCGUGUGAUUAAUGGUGCAUGGUCGAAAAAUAACAAACAUAUAUCGAUUCAGAGAUUAAGACAUCAAUAAAUAAAAACGUUUCUUUUUAUAAUUUCAGAGAUAAUUAAAUGUUUGAAGAAAAGAACAUCGACCAUAAAAGUAUUAAAAUCAAAUUGGGUAUGUGAUGAAAUUUGAAACAUUAAAAAAAAUAUAGUUAAGGAGAAAAGUUAAUUUUAAUUAGAAGAAGAAGCGGAUUCAUUACCUUGCAGGAGAGAGAGCAGAAGAGGUAAGGAGAUUGGAGAGACCGGUCACAUGUGUUGCAAAAAUUGCCGGAGCCACGAAACUGUCGAGAGUGAGGCCGUUCAUUGAUGAACACAACUUUCGAACUGUUCACUAUGUAUGGCUUUAAUCAUCAUCAUCAACGCAUACACACAAAAGAUGAAGAAACACGUAUUAAUUAAAAAGAAAGCAGCUGCAUGAGCAUUAAUGGAUUAAAAGAGUUUUUAAUUACAGAUUUUGAAAAACAGACCAACAAACAAACCUGAAUUAAAGAGCAGUCCAUUAGGUUCGAGCCAUCCUCUACCCUCAAAACAUCGUUAUACAUAUAUCUUCUUAUCUGCAAAAACAUUCCCACCAACAACACAAAGUUUAAGACUAUCUUAUUUUCAAAGAAAAAAAAAAGUGAAAAUUUUGGUUUUCUUGAAAUGAGACCCGAAGGAGACGAUGAGAGGUAUGUGAAGGGAGACAGUGAGGACAGAUGCUAAGACAACAGUCGAUGCACAAAAUGUUCUUCUCGUUCUUCUUUUCUUCUUCAUGGUCCAAACAAGCGUUGAAAAACUUCUCCUUUAGCAAAACCUCAAGCCAUGCAGGGAACUCUCUAGUCUCCAUCUGCAGAAUUAAAGCAAGACCCAUGUUUCAAUUUCGGAUUUUUAAGCCUAGAAAAUGAAAAAGUUAUCUAAGAACAAAAGGAUUCACAAGGACUGUUUUUUUUAAUCUCUAGUCUUCUGUAAUAUGGGGAAGAGAUAAGUAGAGGUGAAGGUCAGGCGAAUUUAAGCUCUCAGUGGUGAAACUGACUCACCAAUUCCCAGAGAGAGAGAGAGAGAGAGAGAGAGAGAGAGCGCGGCGCCUGGAGAGAGUGACCAGUAGCUUAAAUUAAAUGAGUCAUCUUGUCCUUUCUGUCGAGUCUUUCGUUAGAACGUGUUUUUGUUAGUUUUUGUUGUUUUAUUGUAUCAUUAGAGAAUUAAUCAUACUUAUCAAUCUUCGAUGAAACCCCAAUGACUAGAAAUGAUUAUUGGGACAACUAUCGUCAAGUCCUGCUCCAACCGUAGCUGAGUAAAACAUGGAAAAAGAACAUAGCAAAGUAUCGUAUAAUAUAAUAUAGUAUUAAAAAAUAAAUGGUGACCAGAUAACGAUGGAGAAUAAUGCAUUCCUUAACGUUUCUAUUAAAAAAUCAUCAUUCACAAGGAAUAAUAAUUCCCUCCCAUUCUCUUUCGUUCUUUUUUUUAGAAAAUUAAAGGAACAAUCAUUCAUUUUCUUUCUUGCUAUUUUUUUUCCGUAUAUUCCUUUUAUGUUUGUUCAUUUUAUUUCCUGGAUGAUCACCAGUCAAACCAUAGUGUAUUACAAGUAGAUUGAUCAUUUUCUCUUGACAGUCAUUAUAAAUUUUACUGCGGUAUCUGUGUUUUAAUAUAGUGAUCAAAUAAUGACAGAAAACUUUAUGGUUUAAAAAAGAUUCUCAGUCUGUUUGUAGUCUCCGAGGAUUGAUGUUUUAGUUAAGUUUUUUUCUCUUUGGAUCCAAAUCAAGUUGAUAUAAGUAUUUUGUAGCUAUUUCAUUUUUUUUUGGCUCUAUCAGCUUAACAGUGCAAAAGUACUAAAUGACAAGUAUUUCACCCCAACGUUCUACUUUUCGUUUCCUCAAUGGCAAUUGGUAAAACGGUAAAAGUAUUGGCAUCCAACAACAUUCGCCAUUUUAUAAAGAGAAAAAAACCAAAAUAGCAAUAAAUCAAGUUUUUGUUCCCAAACUAAUAUUCAAGGCCAAAAGUCACAAAAUAGCACUCAAGGGGUGGGGUUUAGGGUUUAGAAUUUAGAGUUUAGGGUUUAGAAUUUAGGUUUUAGGGUUUAGAGUUGAGAAGUGAGGUUUUGGGGAUAAGAUUUCAAAUUUUGAAAAAUAAAUAAAUUAAAUUUUUCAAAAGAUAAAAUGCUAUUUUGGUCAUUUUAGUUUUUGAGUGCUAUUUUUGUGAUAUAAACUUAGAAAAGUGCUAUUUUGGAGAUUUGCCCUUUUAUAAAUUAUAACUAAAAACAUAAAUAUAUUAUAUAAUAUUUUAGUACUUAUUCUUGAGUAUUAGAAAUAGCAAAUUCCAAGAAAUGAAAUGAAAGUAGACUCAUCUCAAAAACCAGUGCGAAGUUGAUGGAUGGGCGGCUUUUAUUAGUUCUUUGCCUAUACUACUCAAACUAUCUACACACUCACUAGGUCACCUAUAUUUUUUUAAGUUAAUACGAUAACUUUUUUUUUUUGGUCGAAAGUUAAUACGAUAACUAAAAUGCAUCUCAACUCAAAUUGUUCGUUUAGUUGAAAAGGAGAUUUAAAUUUAAAAUCGAAGUAGGAAAAGUGUAUGCAUGUGUAUAUAAUAUAUAUAUAGAGAGAGCAGGUGGGACAGGGAGGUGGAUCAGAAGUUUGGUACGGAUGAGAGCAGCAGCCUCAUGCAGAAGACGACGUCCUUUGCUUCUGAUCUGAUCUGUUCUGAUCCGGUUCGAUUCGAUUAGAUCCAGCUGUCCCCUUUUAUCGUUAACGGCUUGAAGCUUUUUUUUUCUAGUUAGCGAUCAAGGGUAGUCUAGUCAUUUGACCUUUAUCUACAUGGGCUUGGGCUGUUUACACUUCCGUUGGGCUCGUUCUAUCGAUUAUUGCGUUCUGAUUUGGGGUUCUUGUAUAGUCGAUGUUGUUGACUUAGUCUCAUGGCGUCGUUGCAUGCAAAACAAACUUUUAUUUAACAAUCGAAAUCGCUGGUGACUUAACUAUAUGGUCAAAUGAGAACAAGGGACAGUGACACACGACCUACGAGUUUGUCUUCAUUAUAUGAUUUCAUGUCCCACCAGUAAUAAAUGGAUAUCUAUAAAUGUACAUGACAUUAUGGAUUUUACGCACAAUGCGGUGAUGAAUAACGGACCGGUUUGAAAACCAUAUAAAAUAAAUGCCAGCUUAACUUUAACCAUGUCAAAUAUAAAAUCAUAGCUCAAAAAUAAAAACUCUUAAAGAUAUAUCAAAUGGAACUACAAUUCAAUGCUGAAUCGCCCAUGUUUUUUUUUUCAAAUUCAUUACACGAAUUUGUAUUCAUGUGGGUAGUACAUCAUAUUUAUACCAACAUAAUCAUUAGCCUAUAACACCUAGUUCCAUACUUAGAGAUUGAAUUUCAAGCCAGGGAUGUGUUUUUUUUUUGAGAAAGGAUUUCAAGGGAUGUGUUUUUUUAGAAAACAUGAACAAUCACACCACGAAAUGUUUAUGCAAUGAAAGAUGGCUAGCAUUCAUAUUUUUCUGACGAUGGAGAAUUUAACUGGUGACAUAUGUGGUAUAUAUUAUUCAUAUCGGUUUACUUUCUAGCGGCAUAUGUGAUAAAGAUAAAAGCCUGUGUUCCGGUUAUGAUUAAGACACACAAAUAGAUAAUACCGCGAAUAUUACUAGCAUAAUCAUAAACAGUUAGCACUAACAAAUGUUUGCUAAAAGCAUCACAAAGACGUGAAGAAAAGGUAAAGACAAAGCGAGAAUCUGGGAGAAGAGUUAUAUGUCUUUGUAAAGGUGUCUUCAAAGUUAUGAUUAGUCUUGCUGUCUUGGUGGUCACUAAAUCAAAGUUUUAUACCAGCAAAGGCUUCGGCUUUAUAAUAAUUUGUAUAAAGGGAUCAAUAAUACUUUUCAACCGUGUUCUUAUUAGCAAAACUAUCAAUAGUAACCGAGGAAAACACGCUUACGAGUAUUUCUUUAUAGCACAACAAUUAAGUAAUUAAGAAAGGUUGGGAUCUUAGUGUAGAAAGUGGAUAGCACACUUAAUUUUCGUGCCGUUCACAUUAAAAUGUUGACAGUUAACGUAAACGUAAUACCAUUUCUCAUUUUUUUUUGAACAACAAUCUCAAAUUGUUUAGGUAUUGUAUAAAUGUAAUUUUUUGUUGUAAGAAAAUGUAAAUUUAUAUACCAUGUCCAAUCCAAUAUACAGAUUACAAUAUUUAUUUCUGAUUUCACAUGUUACUACAAAAUAAAAUUAAUUCGAGUAUAUAUAUAUAUAUAUUAUUUUUUAUUUAAACGAAUAAAUAAUAUUUUAUACUUAGAAAGCUAGAUAAAUGUUAUUUUAAAAGUAUAAAUUGAAAUUAAAACCCAUUUAAAUUUAGAAUAAAAUUAAGAAAUACAUUGAAAAUGGUUUCUAUAGCAAAAAAAAGAAGCAAAUGUUCACUUGUUACCGUUAACUAAUCAUUAAAAUAAAAAAAAAAAGUCAGCGGAAUUAGAGAUGAGCAUUAAAAAAAGUAGAAACUAAAAUGUAAAAAAUAAAAGAAAAUUAAAAAAAAAAUACAGAGGAAAGGGAAAGGAGGCUUUGAGCAUUCCUUUCUUCCAAUGCAUCCAAAGCACCGCACCACCACCACUACUACUAAUCCCUCAAAGCACAAACCUCAAGAUCCUUAACUUGCUUUUCAAUUUCGCAUUCGAGAAAAAAGGAUAAAGCUUUACUUUCUCCUUCAUCGUCUUGCAUCUCUGCGAUGCGAGAAGUGGAAACCUCGUCUCCUCCACAAUUCUCCGCCAUGUUUCAGAAGCUAGCGAUGGCCGUCAAAGCCAAGACCUACGAGUUCUUCACCGAAGACGGCGAGAGCAUCAAUCCCGAGGGCGGCGGCGGCUUCUCCCUCCUCGACUCCACCGAAGACUUCAUCCCCGAUCAGAAAGUCGUCGUCCUCAAACCCGACUCCCCUCCCAAGACCAAGACUUUACUCAAACCCAAGCCUCCUCGGGUCAGAAAACUCGAUACCCAGAUGGGAUUGAGCUUGAUCUCGUCGAUUUUCGCAACCCUCUCCUCCUUCGAAGCUUCGUAUCUUCAGCUCCAAGCCGCCCACGCGCCCUUCGUCGAGGAGACCGUCAAGGCUGCUGAUCGAGCUCUGGUCUCUAACCUCCAGAAACUCUCCGAUCUCAAGCAGUUUUAUCGAACCCAUCGACAAAGUUUGGAUCUUGAGACCGAUUCUUUACCGAUUGGGUCGUGCUUGGAAUCUAGGGUUCAGGAGAAUCAGAGCAAGCUUCGAGCUUUGGGGACGGUUUCUAACCGUUUACAAGGCGAGAUGGACGGUAAGGAUCUGCGGGUUUGGACUCUGAGGAACAAGCUGAGCGAGAUUCAGAAGUCUAACUCGAAGCUGUCGAAGAGACUGUCUGAAUCGGACGGUGGUGUUGUGUUGUCCGUUAGGGUUUACGAGUCUGUGUUGGGCGAUGCGUUUAGAGAUGUGAAGAGGUUUACUAAGGUUUUGAUUGAGCUGAUGGAGAAGGCGGGGUGGGAUUUGGAUUUGGCGGCUAGCUAUGUUCACCCUGAGGUGGAGUUUGUUAAGAAGGGGCAUAACAGGUAUGCGUUGUUGUCUUACGUUUGCUUGGGGAUGUUUCGUGGUUUUGAUGGAGAAGGGUUUGAUCUUGAUGAUGAUGAUGGAGAAGAUUCUUCUUCUUCGUUGAGGGAGUUGAUGCAGCAUGUGUCUAGCAACCCCAUGGAGCUUCUUGAGAGAGAUAAAGAGUGUGGGUUCUCUAGGUUUUGCGAUAAGAAGUACCACGAGCUGAUUCAUCCCAGCAUGGAGUCUUCGAUAUUCAGCAAUAUGGAUCGAAACGAAGCUGUGUUGAGUUCUUGGAGAUCUUUGAGUACUUUUUACGAGUCUUUUGUCGCGAUGGCUAGCUCGGUUUGGACGCUUCAUAAGUUAGCAUUGUGCUUUGAUCCUGCAGUUGAGAUUUUUCGAGUUGAAAGUGGAGUUGAUUUUUCGAUUGUUUUCAUGGAGAAUGUGUUGAGAAGGAGAGAAGAUAAGAAGUUGUCGAUGAAUCUUGAUCGAGCCAAAGUGGGAUUCACGGUGGUUCCUGGGUUUAAAGUUGGCUGCACGGUGAUCCAGUCUCAAGUUUACCUUACCGGCUUCAAAUGUAAAUGAAAGAGACUGAUGAUGGUUUACUUUACUUACUUCUGUGAUUAACUGUGUUCUUUAAGUCUUGGUUUGAGUUCUUGCUUUCGUUCAAAGUGUAUAGAAAGCUGUGGUUACUAAGUUUGGAUUGCAGAAAAAAAAAGUUACAUUGUUUCUCUUAAUCUUAGUUAAGUUGUAAGUUGUGACGGAGUGAUUAUCAAAGUGUUAGUUCGACCAAUGUGUUUCAGUUUGAUCAUCAGCUUGUAACAUUUAUCUGUUUCUGUGAUAGCACUGCGUGUCGUUUUUACUCACUCGACGCUCAUAUAUAUUCAUGGGCUUUUUUAAAAGCCCAUGUUUGGUCUUAUAGUUUAUUAAACUUAGGCCCUAAUGUGGUAUGUUGUCGUCAACGAUAAAUCUAGGCUGUUAGUCAUAUUCAGCUUAAAUAGUUUAUGGGCUUUAUCAGGCCCGUUUAUCACCACGUUGAUGGGAAAAAGUUGCACACGUGUAAAUGUCCGCGUGGCAUCAGACAAAACACUCGUUGGUCGUAUCUUCAAAAUAAAUUUGGUCGGCAUGGCGGACUUGACCAAGCUGUACAAUACGGUACGACGUCAUUUUACGUACUAUACAACGAACGAUACCAAACAAGGAUGAUUAUUGUAUUUGUAUACACGAUCGUCGAUUGUUUGUUUAAAUUUCUUCUUUCGUUGACUAUCGAUUAGUGAGAUCAAUCACCAAUUAUUGUUGCAAAAAUAGGUAAUUAAUUGACCGAGGAAAAAAUAAAUUAAUUUACCGAGGAUUAAGGAACCGACUAGCGUUUUUUUGUAAACUGGCUUUCAUCUAUAUUAUUAAAAGAGAAGUACCCAUUAAAAAAUACCCCUAAGUUUUUGAAGUUAAUUACAUUUUCAUGCCACUGAGAAUUAAAUUGAAUUUCCUAUUUUAAUGCUUGUCUUUUUCAGUUAGAUUAAUUUGUUUUCCUUAUUCAAAUAUAAACUUAACAUCAUUAAAUUAACUUACAUAUUUUAAUGCUUAUGUUUUUCAGUUAAAUUAAUGAGUUUCCUUUAAUCAAAUUUAAACUUAAUGUCAUUAAAUGAACCUAAAAAUAUAUCAUAUUUAACGUAGCUUAUUACGGACAAGUACGGCCCAAUAAUGAACUUGAAUUUUAUUUUUAUGAAAACGUGAAUCACUUGACGUAUGUAAUAUUUAAAAUAUAUUAACUACAGUAUAACAAAUGCAUAUAACCUUCCUAUACUUUAGUUUGAAAUGAUCAUGCUCAAGUUUUAUAUAGUCCACUUACAUAAUGCAUCAAGCGAUGUACAAUAUUCAAACCACCUAUAGUUUUCGUUUUCCUUAUAUGAUGUAUCAACCAACCAAUCAUGAUAUUGAAUUUCUAAGCUUUAUAAAAAAAUAAAUCAAUAGAUACAAACUCAAAAUCCAAUAUCUUCUAUUAAUCAAAACAGAAUAUCUUCAGUGUCGUAUCUAUAAUGUACCUAUUAAAUAUAGAAACUGUAACCAUAAUAAUUACACUAAUUAUAAGAAUAGAUUUGAUUACAACCAAUUGAUAUAUUACUUCGGUAAUUGAUUUGCUUGCAGAAGAGAAAAUAGUAAAUUUAAAAUUUGUAAGAAUAUAAAGAUAUAGAGAUUCCAAUCCAUUGCCUAUAUUUGCGUAUGAUUUUUGCAUAAUAAGCUUCAAAUUGAACAUUGAAAAAGAUAGAAAGAUUUUUUUUAAUCUUUUACCGACAUAGAACUUAAACAAAACGAAGAGUUUUUUUGUUACACUUCCCGGAAAAAACGGUUACAACAUGGGCUAUCAUAAUAUGGCCUUUUAACAUAUUAAUGUUAUGGACAUUUAAUAAUUAUCUUGACGAAAAACAAAGACUAUAAAUAAUUUAUUAUUAAUAAAAUUAUGAAAUUAUUUACAAUUUGAUGACUAAUUCAUCGCCCUUUUUUAUAUGUUAAAUUUUUCGUAGAAGUUUAAAAAUCAUUAUAUUUUCUUUAAAGAUGUAUAACUAAUUUAUAAUCUUUUAUGCCGUACUAAGUCAUAAUAUAAUAUCUCUUCAUAUUUUAUAUUAAUAACCAUUGUUUUUAUAUAUCGUUUACAAUUCUCUAAUUACGUCUGUAGUUCUAUUUUUUAUAUGAUAUCGAAUAUUCAUCAUAAAUAGAUGGUUUAAGAUGCCAAAAAAAAAUUUAUUUGGUGAAUAUAAUACAUCAAAUAUUACAAAUACAUCAUUUAGUUAAAUAAAUAACCAAAAAUCAAAAAUUCAUACCCGCGCUGGCGCGCGGGUCAGGUUCUAGUUCUGAUUAAACUAAAAACAAAAAAACAUACAGACCUAGAAGGCAGUGUUUUGUGGGCAAGGCCCAAGUUACACAUAAGAUAAUAAAACCCUAGAAGAAGAAUCUCAUUAGAACUGGCCCGACAGUAAAGAAAGAUCAAAGUUUAAGCCCAAGUGUAAUAUGCCCAAAGAAUAAUCGGGAGGUGGUAGUUGGUUGGUGGAGAAGUCAUGAAGCGAGAGUAAAUGGAGGAAGGGAGACUGUGGGAGAUUUGCAUCUCAUCCCGUGGAGAACCAACGCUGCAUCAUCGUGGUCGAGAGAGAGAGGUUGAUUUCUCUGAAGCUCUGAACUUUAUUCCUGAUUUGGCGAUCAAUCGCAGAGUACAUCGCAGUUGUCGUUGUAAAAGGUCUGGCAUGCAAUCUCCCAUUUCUUUCAGUCCAGAGCCAGUAGAUGGUGGCUUGCCAGGCUAGAAGAGAGAGCAAGCGCUUUGUUUUAUCACCCACCAAAGCCGUCAACUGAUCCACCGUCUGACCCCAAGAUCGGAGAGGUCGAAGACAACACCUAGACGCGAUCAAAGUCCAUAGAUCAUAACUGAAUGGACAAUCGAAGAACAGAUGAUCCCUAGAUUCCAAUUGCGAGUUGCAAAGCACACACAUCGGAUCAACAUGAAGGCCCCAACCUAUCAUCCUAUCUUUAGUAGGGCAACGAUUCAGGUAGACUAGCCACGCCUGGAAGGAGUGGCGCGGUAUAGAGCGCGAGAACCAUAUCAGCUUUGCCCAACCUUUAUCUUCAAUCUCACCUCUCAAGUAAGUAUAUACUGCUCCAGUUUUGUAUUUUGUUUCACUGUUCCCCUGAAGAUUCCACACAUAGAAAUCAACAUUUGUAGAAAGCUGGAUUGUGGUUAAGAAGGCAUAGAGUUCUAACGCUGCUUCUGUUCUCGCAGGCGGAAGCAACCAGUUCCCAUUUCUACAAAGCGAAGCCACAGUUGCUUUGUGCGGAAUCCCUAGUCUUGAGUUUGAGGAGGUUUCGAGAGCGGAAAUACAACCUGCAGGAGCCCAAUUGUGGUGCCAGAAUAGAGCAGAGCGACCAUCCUCCACUUUCAACUUUAUCAGAGGGUAGACGAUCGGCCUCAUCUUUAUCAAUUUAUUUACCAGCCACGAGUGUUUUUGACUUGUCUUGACAGUCCAGUAGUUAUGUAUUGAUCCUUUAAGGAUAACCUCCUUAAACCAUAUCACCCAAACUGAUUCCUCCCUGAAGAAAAGCAUCCAGAUGAGUCGCAAACAGCAAGCCUUGUUCCAGGUUAGUAGGUCUUUGAUUCCUAACCCUCCCUGCGCUUUAGUUAACGUAACAGUGUCCCAUGCCACCCUUGAAGCGUGGUGACCGUCCAAGUUUCCUUUCCAGAGGAACAGAUUACACAUGGAGUUUAUCUUUUUUAUGCAGGCCUUAGGGAGGAUGAAGGCAGAACACCAGAAAGUUGUGAUACCCGCGAUGACCGUCUUGAUCAGGAGUAAACGGCCCGAGAAGGAGAGAGUUUUUACUGACCAUGAGGAUAGUCUUCCUUUGACUUGUUGGAUCAGUGGCUGACAGUUUGGCAAUGAUAAUUUUCUUGAGUUGAGGGGAACUCCUAGAUACCUGAAUGGGAGAUCACCUAGCGUCAUACCAGUAGAAGCUUUGAUUGCAUCAUUCUCCUGGUCAGAUAAACCCGAAGAGUAGAAACUAGUUUUCUGGAAGCUAACCGCAAGACCUGAUCGGAGCUCAAAAUCACGUAAAACCUGAAGAACACAUUGCACUGAUUCGAUGGAACCAUCAAUGAAGAUGAGCAAGUCGUCUGCAAACGACAGGUGAGUGAGCUUCAUGGCAUUACACUUUGGAUGGUACUUGAUUCUAUUUGCUUCAGCCGCUUUGUUUAGCAUGAGAGACAAGUAGUUCAUAGCCAUAACAAACAAGUAAGGUGAUAGUGGGUCGCCUUGCCUUAGUCCUCUCUUCCCUUUGAAAUAACCAUUCACCGUGCCAUGAACCGACUAGCGUUUUCGAGCAAAAAAUUAUAUUUGCUUAAUGUGACGGCAAUUUAGCUUUAACGACGUCUUUAAUAAUCAGACGCUUUUCCAAUAAACCUUUAGUUGACCUUCGAGGCAUCGAAAAGAGCUCAUGGACACGUCACGUACGAUUAUCCGUACAAAUAUAGACAAAAUAUUAGCAGCUACGUGCAUGCUUUAAUACUAUUUUACAAUAUCUCUAAUCGAAAUCUCACCUUUACCACCCACUCAUUCAUCUGUAUGGGUCUCAACAGUCAGCAGCACCCUACUUGUAUAUGAAUUUAUCAUUAUUGUAAUAUUGGAAUAGGAAUUUAUAUAAGACAAAGAUCCCGUGCCGUAGUCAUCAAAUCAUAUAUAACCCUUUAACUUGUUUUUUACUGUAACCUGAUGAAGCGAGUGGUUCUAAACUUCUAGUAAUAUAUAACUGCAUAUAUUCUUGUUAGUUCAAUGGUCUUCACCUAUUUUAUCAUGUGGAAUGCGCAUUAACUACAUUGUUAGCAUUAUUUAGAUAACAAGUAAUCUCUCUGUUUCAUUAAGAUAUAAAUUUUAGAAAAAAAUAUUGUUUCACAAAAUUAUAUUUUUUAUAUUUUCUAUACCAAAAUUGCAAAUUUCAGUAAAAUUAAUUGGAUUUACCGUAAAAAGCAUUGAAAUUUGAUAAUUUCAAAAAACAAUGCAAAAUUAAUGUGUGUUUUUAAUAUGUGUGAAAACACCAAAACAUCCAUAUUUAAGAAACGGAUGAAGUAUAUAUUACAAGAAUAUUGAAUUCCAUGUUUAUUUUGGUAAACCCUGAAUUCCAAGAAUACUAAAUUCCAUAUUUCAAAACUCACUCUUAUCAUUAAAACAAAACUUCGCCUAGUGUUUUAAUUUAUCAAAUGCAAUACGAAUUAGGACCCAAAAACAUGCAGGUAAGGUCCAUCUAUUUCUAAUAUAUUUUAUUUUGUUAAAUAUGCAGGAAAGUUUACUAACUAUUUUGAUAUAUAACGACAAACAAUGAUGUGUGUUUGAAGAGUCACCACUAUUAGAUAACUUGUAUACCUAAAGUAGGUAAUGAACUGAACCUCACAGAUAAAUCAGUAUUGAUUAUCUAUGAAAAUUUUAUGAACUAACUCAAACGUAACCUAAUUAUGUGAUGAGCGUUUAAAUAUUAAAAUCACGAUAUAUGUGUGUUUUGAGCUGACUUCUUUUUUUUGUCAACUCCUAUUGGUAUAUUGGUGUUUUUAGCAAAAAAAAAAGAACUCCUUUGGUGUUUUCUUUAUCCAUUUCAAAGUUCAAAUUGGUAUAUCAUAGCAUUCUCAGUCGGAGGAAACGCGAAAUUAAACUCUAUAUAUAUAUAUAUAUAUAUAUAUAUAUAUAUAUAUAUUGUUGUCAACAAACUGAAUAAUCGAUCUAUUUUGACAUCAGUUAUAACUUAUAUGUUUUCGUAAGAUUAUAAAACGUUAAACAUUUCUCAUUGGCCCAGUGGUUAAAGCUUUGUUGGUUUAGUCAAAAGAAAAAGGUUAUAAAACGUUAUGUGACUUUCUAUGGAUGUCUCUGUCUGUCUUUAUUUCGUUAAGAGUUUCGAUUUGAAUUUUCCUUAUCAGGAAAAAUAUAAGAGAAUGUUUUGUUCUUACCUUGAAAGGUUGAAACUUAAAGCCUUGUUUGAAAAUCAUCGCAUUGUGUUGUUGGGUACUUCGAGGAAGCUCACAGUUGUCAAAUACUGGGUCUCGUAUAAACUAUGCGAGAUAAGUACAUUAAUACAAUAAUGGAAGAUUUUUCUUUGUUGAUCUAUUAUUAGUUCAAUUUAACGAUAUAAUUAUUAUUUUUCUUUUGUAGUUGUAAUGACUUUGGGUUAGUGGCAUGUCACACUCCUCUAUAAUAAAGAAAAAGAGUAACCACUUAAAAUCAAGGCUGUUUGCAGAGAUUUGGUCUCGAUUAGGAAGGCGCAACUGCAGAGAACGUUCGGACGGACUCUUCAAACCCAUUUUAGUGUAAAAAACAAUUUUAUUCAGUUUAAUAUUUCCGUGAGAAACAAUAUAAUGGUUUCGUUGGAGUUUGAAUGCGAGGCUUUCGAUCAGAAAAAAAAAGACAUAUGUGAGGCAAAUGGGCCCUAUACAUUCGAAGCUGCAAGUGACACGUUCAUGUUCGUGUACUUAUUAAUCAACUUGUACGGCCAUGGACCGAUGAAUUGUUAAAAAUACUAGUAUUAAGUAUUAACUAUCAACUAUUAUAAAGUAUCGCUUUCGUUAAACAGAAAAUAAUCAUUUUCAAUAUGAAAAAAUAAAACAUUAUUCUCACACGUAAUACGCCCCUAUUCUAUGGUGUAACUGGUAACAAACUAACAACAACACAUCAGUUUCUAAUUUCGCUGAAUAAAAAAACACAUAUUACAUAUACAUAAAAUUAAACUUGAGAAAAACAACACUAUAUAUAUAUAUAUAUGUAUUGCUUCAAGUCCAUGUAUGAAUAUUAAUCUGCCAAUUAUUUCUCCUAAAGAUUCCGAAACUAAGCAGCAAUAUUAAUUUUUGGCAAAGGGUCACAGGCUCACAUAUAUUAUAUGUACACAAGUAGAUGAAUACUCAGAUUUGCACUAAGUAUAUAAAUGAAUACUCCAAUAACUUUUGUCUUAUUAGAUUAGCACAACUUGGUUUAAUUAACGUCCUAAAUUAGCUCAGAUCUGUCUUCAGUUUGUUUUUCGUUUGUGUGUUUCUUGUUUGCAUAUGAAUAAAUAUCUAUAAGGAGGCAUCUACAGGACACACCCGUACAGGCUUACACAAGCUAUUUUAAUUAACCUUGUUGGCGACAUAAUGUGCAGCUAAAUUGAUCAAUGACAAAAAUCAAAUACAAAAAUAUUUAGAAGAGCGAUUUGAUCUCUUGUGAAGUGUUAUUACCUAAUCGAUACAAGAAAAAAUGUUCGCCACGUGGAUAUCACACGUGUGUUGGCAUCAUAAUUGUCAUCAAGCAACAUACUAAAGCGUUGGCACAUUAACUGUCAUCAAACAAAAUACAUAACAUACGGGAAAUCGGCCAAUUCCUACAUCAACAAGGGUCAACGGUCCCGAUCAGUACAUAAACAUGUUACCUGUGCGAAAACAUACAUCAACUAGCACAAAAUUUAAUUUUCAUACAUGAACUUUUAAAAUUUGGUUUUAUCAUACAUUGACAUAAUUUCCGUUAGUCAAACGUUGAGUUGUCGUUAACCGGUAAUAGAAAAUCGGCUAAUUCCUACAUCAACAAGGACCAAUGGUACGGAUCAAUACAUGAACACUUCACCUGUGCAAAAACAUACAUCAACUAAUACAAAAUUUAACUUCACUACAUGAACUUUUGAAAUCUGGUUUUAACAUACGCUAAAACUUGACAUUUACUUAAUUUCCACUAGUCAAAUAAUAUUGAAGCUAAAUUUUAUGUCAC
rnacentral:lncRNA from 1 species